UAUUUAUAAUAAACCUGUCAUUGUAUAAUGAAUAUUGUUGUCUCUGUGACAGUAUGCUUAUGUUCCCAGGUUCUUCCAUGCUGAUGGCUGUGCUCUAGAGUCAUAUCUCCUGUCGAAGAACAUUUUUAGACAUUAUGAACCAUGAAAAAGUUUAGCUCCAACCCCAGUUAAGCAGCUGAUCAAGGAUCACCAGAAACUCUGCAGAACGUUGGUCCUCCAGCCCAGGACUGGACACCAGUGUUGUCUAAGACAGCUACAAUGAAGCCACAAAUGCAGUUCAUAGUUCCUGUAUUUCUAUAAUGCAUUAAUGAAUAACAGUAAUUAAAAAAAAAUGUAAUGUCAAGGUUUUGUGUUAAUUCCAGCUAUGUUGAGUAUUCUGUGAAU
ensembl:lncRNA